rnacentral:rRNA from 1 species
UACGUAGGGCGCAAGCGUUGUCCGGAAUUAUUGGGCGUAAAGAGCUCGUAGGCGGCUUGUCACGUCGGGUGUGAAAGCCCGGGGCUUAACCCCGGGUCUGCAUUCGAUACGGGCUGGCUAGAGUGUGGUAGGGGAGAUCGGAAUUCCUGGUGUAGCGGUGAAAUGCGCAGAUAUCAGGAGGAACACCGGUGGCGAAGGCGGGUCUCUGGGCCGAAAUUGACGCUGAGGAGCGAAAGCGUGGGGAGCAAACAGG